rnacentral:rRNA from 1 species
UUAAAGGAAUUGACGGAAGGGCACCACCAGGAGUGGAGCCUGCGGUUCAAUUUGACUCAACACGGAGAAACUCACCAGGCCAGGACACUCGAAGGAUUGACAGAUUGAGAGCUCUUUCUUGAUUGGGUGGGUGGUGGUGCAUGGCCGUUCAUAGUUGGUGGAUCGAUUUGUCUGCUUAAUUGCGAUAACGAACGAGAUUCUAGCCUACUAACUAGGCGAUCCCGGCUUCCUUGGCGCAGUCGGCGGACAACUAUCUUCUUAGAGGGACAGGCAGCGUCUAGCUGCACGAGAAUGAGCAAUAACAGGUCUGAGAUGCCCUUAGAUGUUCUGGGCUACACGCGCGCUACACUGAAGGGAUCAAUGUGUAAUCUCCUAGCCCGAGAGGGCCGGGUAACCCGUUGAACCCCCUUCGUGCUUGGGAUUGGGGCUUGCAAUUAUUCCCCACCAACGAGGAAUUCCCAGUAAGCGCGAGUCAUUAACUCGAGUUGAUUACGUCCCUGCCCUUUGUACACACCGCCCGUCGCUACUACCGAUUGAAUGAUUUAGUAAGGUCUUCGGACCAGGGCUCGGCUUCUUCACGGUCGCCGGUGACCCCGGGAAUUUGACCGAACUUGAUCAUUUAGAGGAAGUAAAAGUCGUAACAAGGUUUUC